UUAAGCGACUAAGCGUACACGGUGGAUGCCCUGGCAGUCAGAGGCGAUGAAGGACGUGCUAAUCUGCGAAAAGCGCCGGCGAGGUGAUAUGAACCUUUGACCCGGCGAUGUCCGAAUGGGGAAACCCAGUGCAAUCCGUUGCACUAUCGUUAACUGAAUACAUAGGUUAACGAGGCGAACCGGGGGAACUGAAACAUCUAAGUACCCCGAGGAAAAGAAAUCAACCGAGAUUCCCCCAGUAGCGGCGAGCGAACGGGGAGCAGCCCGGAGUCUGAAUCAGCUUGUGUGUUAGUGGAACGGUCUGGAAAGUCCGGCGAUACAGGGUGAUAGUCCCGUACACGAAAGCACACAUGCUGUGAACUCGAAGAGUAGGGCGGGACACGUGGUAUCCUGUCUGAAUAUGGGGGGACCAUCCUCCAAGGCUAAAUACUCCUGACUGACCGAUAGUGAACCAGUACCGUGAGGGAAAGGCGAAAAGAACCCCGGCGAGGGGAGUGAAAAAGAACCUGAAACCGUGUACGUACAAGCAGUGGGAGCCUCUUUAUGGGGUGACUGCGUACCUUUUGUAUAAUGGGUCAGCGACUUAUAUUCUGUAGCAAGGUUAACCGUAUAGGGGAGCCGAAGGGAAACCGAGUCUUAACUGGGCGUUAAGUUGCAGGGUAUAGACCCGAAACCCGGUGAUCUAGCCAUGGGCAGGUUGAAGGUUGGGUAACACUAACUGGAGGACCGAACCGACUAAUGUUGAAAAAUUAGCGGAUGACCUGUGGCUGGGGGUGAAAGGCCAAUCAAACCGGGAGAUAGCUGGUUCUCCCCGAAAGCUAUUUAGGUAGCGCCUCGUGAAUUCAUCUUCGGGGGUAGAGCACUGUUUCGGCUAGGGGGCCAUCCCGGCUUACCAACCCGAUGCAAACUACGAAUACCGAAGAAUGUUAUCACGGGAGACACACGGCGGGUGCUAACGUCCGUCGUGAAGAGGGAAACAACCCAGACCGCCAGCUAAGGUCCCAAAGUCAUGGUUAAGUGGGAAACGAUGUGGGAAGGCACAGACAGCCAGGAUGUUGGCUUAGAAGCAGCCAUCAUUUAAAGAAAGCGUAAUAGCUCACUGGUCGAGUCGGCCUGCGCGGAAGAUGUAACGGGGCUAAACCAUGCACCGAAGCUGCGGCAGCGACACUAUGUGUUGUUGGGUAGGGGAGCGUUCUGUAAGCCGUUGAAGGUGUCCUGUGAGGGGUGCUGGAGGUAUCAGAAGUGCGAAUGCUGACAUAAGUAACGAUAAAGCGGGUGAAAAGCCCGCUCGCCGGAAGACCAAGGGUUCCUGUCCAACGUUAAUCGGGGCAGGGUGAGUCGACCCCUAAGGCGAGGCCGAAAGGCGUAGUCGAUGGGAAACAGGUUAAUAUUCCUGUACUUGGUGUUACUGCGAAGGGGGGACGGAGAAGGCUAUGUCAGCCGGGCGACGGUUGUCCCGGUUUAAGCAUGUAGGCGGAGGUUCCAGGUAAAUCCGGUACCUUGUUAACGCUGAGGUGUGAUGACGAGGCACUACGGUGCUGAAGUGAUAAAUGCCCUGCUUCCAGGAAAAGCCUCUAAGCAUCAGGUAACACGAAAUCGUACCCCAAACCGACACAGGUGGUCAGGUAGAGAAUACCAAGGCGCUUGAGAGAACUCGGGUGAAGGAACUAGGCAAAAUGGUGCCGUAACUUCGGGAGAAGGCACGCUGAUAUGUAGGUGAAGUCCCUGCGGACGGAGCUGAAAUCAGUCGAAGAUACCAGCUGGCUGCAACUGUUUAUUAAAAACACAGCACUGUGCAAACACGAAAGUGGACGUAUACGGUGUGACGCCUGCCCGGUGCCGGAAGGUUAAUUGAUGGGGUUAGCGGCAACGCGAAGCUCUUGAUCGAAGCCCCGGUAAACGGCGGCCGUAACUAUAACGGUCCUAAGGUAGCGAAAUUCCUUGUCGGGUAAGUUCCGACCUGCACGAAUGGCGUAAUGAUGGCCAGGCUGUCUCCACCCGAGACUCAGUGAAAUUGAACUCGCUGUGAAGAUGCAGUGUACCCGCGGCAAGACGGAAAGACCCCGUGAACCUUUACUAUAGCUUGACACUGAACACUGGUCCUUGAUGUGUAGGAUAGGUGGGAGGCUUUGAAGCGUGGACGCCAGUCUGCGUGGAGCCAACCUUGAAAUACCACCCUUUAAUGGCUGGUGUUCUAACGUAGACCCGUAAUCCGGGUUGCGGACAGUGUCUGGUGGGUAGUUUGACUGGGGCGGUCUCCUCCCAAAGAGUAACGGAGGAGCACGAAGGUUGGCUAAUCCUGGUCGGACAUCAGGAGGUUAGUGCAAUGGCAUAAGCCAGCUUGACUGCGAGCGUGACGGCGCGAGCAGGUGCGAAAGCAGGUCAUAGUGAUCCGGUGGUUCUGAAUGGAAGGGCCAUCGCUCAACGGAUAAAAGGUACUCCGGGGAUAACAGGCUGAUACCGCCCAAGAGUUCAUAUCGACGGCGGUGUUUGGCACCUCGAUGUCGGCUCAUCACAUCCUGGGGCUGAAGUAGGUCCCAAGGGUAUGGCUGUUCGCCAUUUAAAGUGGUACGCGAGCUGGGUUUAGAACGUCGUGAGACAGUUCGGUCCCUAUCUGCCGUGGGCGCUGGAGAAUUGAGGGGGGCUGCUCCUAGUACGAGAGGACCGGAGUGGACGCAUCACUGGUGUUCGGGUUGUCAUGCCAAUGGCACUGCCCGGUAGCUAAAUGCGGAAGAGAUAAGUGCUGAAAGCAUCUAAGCACGAAACUUGCCCCGAGAUGAGUUCUCCCUGAGACCUUGAGUCUCCUGAAGGAACGUUGAAGACUACGACGUUGAUAGGUCGGGUGUGUAAGCGCAGCGAUGCGUUGAGCUAACCGAUACUAAUGAACCGUGAGGCUUAACCUU
rnacentral:rRNA from 2 species